rnacentral:rRNA from 1 species
AUUGAACGCUGGCGGCAUGCCUAACACAUGCAAGUCGAACGGGUGGCGGACGGGUGAGUAAUGUCUGGGAAACUGCCUGAUGGAGGGGGCUAACUACUGGAAACCGUGGCUACUACCGCAUAACAUCCGUUCUGCCCAGAUGGGAUUAGCUAGUCGGUGGGGUAACGGCUCACCUAGGCGACGAUCCCUAGCUGGUCUGAGAGGGUGACCAGCCACACUGGAACUGAGACACGGCCCAGACUCCUACGGGAGGCAGCAGUGGGGAAUCUUGCACAAUGGGCGAAAGCCUGAUCGAGCCAUGCCGCGUGUAUGAAGAAGGCCUUCGGGUUGUAAAGUACUUUUAGCAGGGAGGCGGUAUCCGAAGAAGAAGCACCGGCUAACUACGUGCCAGCAGCCGCGGUAAUAC